CCUACGGGAGGCAGCAGUGGGGAAUAUUGGACAAUGGGCGCAAGCCUGAUCCAGCCAUGCCGCGUGGGUGAAGAAGGCCUUCGGGUUGUAAAGCCCUUUUGGCGGGGACGAUGAUGACGGUACCCGCAGAAUAAGCCCCGGCUAACUUCGUGCCAGCAGCCGCGGUAAGACGAAGGGGGCAAGCGUUGUUCGGAAUUACUGGGCGUAAAGGGCGCGUAGGCGGCCAUUCAAGUCAGCCGUGAAAGGCCUGGGCUCAACCUGGGAAUUGCGGUUGGGACUGAGUGGCUAGAGAGCGGGAGAGGAUGGUGGAAUUCCCAGUGUAGAGGUGAAAUUCGUAGAUAUUGGGAAGAACACCGGUGGCGAAGGCGGCCAUCUGGACCGUAUCUGACGCUGAGGCGCGAAAGCGUGGGGAGCAAACAGGAUUAGAUACCCUUGUAGUC
rnacentral:rRNA from 1 species